UACGGGGGGAGCAAGCGUUGUUCGGAUUUACUGGGCGUAAAGGGCGCGUAGGCGGUCAGCACAAGUCAGUUGUGAAAUCUCCGGGCUUAACUCGGAAAGGUCAACUGAUACUGCGCGACUAGAGUGCAGAAGGGGCAACUGGAAUUCUCGGUGUAGCGGUGAAAUGCGUAGAUAUCGAGAGGAACACCUGCGGCGAAGGCGGGUUGCGGGGCUGCCACUGACGCUGCGGCGCGAAAGCCAGGGGAGCGAACGGG
rnacentral:rRNA from 1 species